rnacentral:lncRNA from 1 species
GACAAGGUGCUGCGCGCGGGCAUGAUGGAGCAGAUCAAGCGCGAGAUCGCCGUCAUGAAGCGCGUGUCCCACCCCAACAUCGUGGAGCUCCACGAGGUGAUGGCCACGCGCUCCAAGAUCUACCUCGCGCUCGAGCUCGUCCGCGGCGGGGAGCUCUUCGCGCGGAUCGUGCGCGCCGGCCGGGUCAAGGAGGACGUCGCGAGGCGCUACUUCCGCCAGCUCAUCUCCGCCGUCGACUUCUGCCACGCGCGCGGCGUGUACCACCGCGACCUCAAGCCGGAGAACCUCCUCAUCGACGAAGCGGGGAACCUCAAGGUCGUCGACUUCGGCCUCAGCGCGCUCGCCGACCACGCGCGCAGCGAUGGAUUGCUGCACACGCUCUGCGGGACGCCGGGGUACGUCGCGCCGGAGGUGUUCCGGAACAAGGGCUACG